GAACGAUGAAGCCCUUCGGGGUGGAUUAGUGGCGAACGGGUGAGUAACACGUGGGCAAUCUGCCCUUCACUCUGGGACAAGCCCUGGAAACGGGGUCUAAUACCGGAUAACACCGGCUUCCGCAUGGGAGCUGGUUAAAAGCUCCGGCGGUGAAGGAUGAGCCCGCGGCCUAUCAGCUUGUUGGUGGGGUAAUGGCCUACCAAGGCGACGACGGGUAGCCGGCCUGAGAGGGCGACCGGCCACACUGGGACUGAGACACGGCCCAGACUCCUACGGGAGGCAGCAGUGGGGAAUAUUGCACAAUGGGCGAAAGCCUGAUGCAGCGACGCCGCGUGAGGGAUGACGGCCUUCGGGUUGUAAACCUCUUUCAGCAGGGAAGAAGCGAAAGUGACGGUACCUGCAGAAGAAGCGCCGGCUAACUACGUGCCAGCAGCCGCGGUAAUACGUAGGGCGCAAGCGUUGUCCGGAAUUAUUGGGCGUAAAGAGCUCGUAGGCGGCUUGUCACGUCGGGUGUGAAAGCCCGGGGCUUAACCCCGGGUCUGCAUCCGAUACGGGCAGGCUAGAGUGUGGUAGGGGAGAUCGGAAUUCCUGGUGUAGCGGUGAAAUGCGCAGAUAUCAGGAGGAACACCGGUGGCGAAGGCGGAUCUCUGGGCCAUUACUGACGCUGAGGAGCGAAAGCGUGGGGAGCGAACAGGAUUAGAUACCCUGGUAGUCCACGCCGUAAACGUUGGGAACUAGGUGUUGGCGACAUUCCACGUCGUCGGUGCCGCAGCUAACGCAUUAAGUUCCCCGCCUGGGGAGUACGGCCG
rnacentral:rRNA from 1 species